AACAAUGUUUUGAAUAACGUUUAAAAUAAUAUUAUUGUUUAUUGCAACUUAAGUAACAUAUAUUUAUUCUAAUUAAACCAUUCGGACUCAUCAAUACUUCCCAGAAAACAAAGCUUUUGUAGAUAUGUCGCCGAUAAACGGUUGCAUUUUUCCGAUAUCAAUGACCCAGCUUUCGAAAACAGGCGCUCGCACGGAACUGAACUUGUGAUGUUCCCAAAAGUCGUAUGGUUUGUCAUGUGAUUUAUGGUGUAUCUGCGUAUCUACACUCGCGUCAACUUCUUUGGCUCCAUCGCUUCGCUCCAUGACGUUACGGAUUUUACUCAGCGCUUUAGCACAAGCAGCAGAAUCCUGAAAAUCACGGAGGAAAAACUAACUGCGACUUGUGGUGAGUGUAAAAAAAUCCUGCCCGGGCUCAAUACGACGUAAUUUUGCUGGUGUUAUUGGUAACUCUAGUGCGUGCCGUUUAACUACACGGAUAAAACCAGAUAUCGACAUCAUCAGUGGGUUACGCAGUCUUGCACAAUGUCAGAAUCGUUUCCAUCGGAUGUUCCAAAACAUGAUGAUAUCAGUAACAAUCAGAAUCUUGACAUAGAAUAUUUGGAUGCCGAUUCGCGAUUCGUUCACUGGGCUGACAAUGAAAUUAUACAAUUGCUACAGUCGUCCAAAGUAUCAACGGAAGUUAUUCAGAAGUUCGUGGUCAACGAAUACAGUAUUAUGUAAUAUAGAGAAGCAUAAAUCUAAUGUAGCAAACAUAAACGUUUUGCACAACAGAUCAAACAUUACGGAAUAUUCACGUAUGUCUAUCAUUACAAUGUCAAUAUAGAUAUGGAAGAUGUAAUGAUUAGGAUAUGAAUAAAUAAUUUGAAAUUGCA